AACGAACGCUGGCGGCAUGCCUAACACAUGCAAGUCGAGCGCCCGUAGCAAUACGGGAGCGGCGCACGGGUGAGUAACGCGUGGGAACCUGCCCAGAGGUUCGGGACAACCGCGGGAAACUGCGGCUGAUACCGGAUGAUACCUGAGGGUCAAAGAUUUAUCGCCUUUGGAGGGGCCCGCGUCGGAUUAGGUAGUUGGUGGGGUAAUGGCUUACCAAGCCUAUGAUCCGUAACUGGUCUGAGAGGAUGACCAGUCACACUGGGACUGAGACACGGCCCAGACUCCUACGGGAGGCAGCAGUGGGGAGUACUGGACAAUGGGGGCAACCCUGAUCCAGCAAUGCCGCGUGGGUGAUGAAGGCCU
rnacentral:rRNA from 1 species